rnacentral:lncRNA from 1 species
AACCCCUUGAGGCUUGCCAAAAGCACCCCUCAUACCAGUUUGGAGCCUAUCAGCUCCAGCACAUGACAACAUCUUGUUAAUUCGCAACACAUGAAAAGGGUGCACACGGACCCUCAGGUGGAAAGCAUCCUUUCCUGCAAACUUAGUCAUGUACUUAUUGCAGGCAAUACGAGCAGCUUCAAGUGCUUCACUAGACACAUUUUCCUUUUCCCAACUGACCAAGUGCACGCAGAAAGGGAACUCAUCAACUCCCUUCUUCUUCAUCCCUACAUCGUAAAUCCUGAUCUUGGGAUCUGGCACACCACGGCAGAACCGUGAUUUUGGGUAUGGCUUAUUCUUUAUUUGACGAUAGCACCUAGCAGGUCCUGCGUACAAGUAGUCAACCCAUCAAAACAAUGUACUGCAUUUUCUAUUUCCUAAGAUAAUAAAAAGACAAUUUUCAUUUCCAGAAGUAUUUGAUACUCAAUCCACCUUAGGAAUGCUACACACUUGGAAACUCAGAAUAGUCUCAUAAAUCCAAAAUAUGAUUAAAUGAAAAUAACAUCAAGCAGCCUAUCUAAGAUUAAUACAUUACUUUCCAGAUACAUUGCAUUAACAUAGUUAGCAAUUCAAUAUAGAAAAACAGAUAACAAUUUACUGAAUGAUGACAAGAAACAAAAAAUAAUUAGCAAUAGAUAUUCAAGUAUAACAAGAUUGACAUGAUUUACAAAAUCAACGGUUACCAGCCUCAUAAAUAAAGUUAUCCUCUCGUCAUAAACAGAACCUCAUGAACGUAAAAACCCACACAAGCCAAAGUUAUACACACAUCUCACUUAAAAUUAGAGGUUUUAUACUUUCCAGUGAACCAGAACAUAACCUACUUAGCACCUAAUAUUUACAUUUCUAAAUAAAACAAUCCUAUGAUCAUAAUUGAUGAAACUAUCUCAUUCACCAAAUAAAAAUUCAGUAGCACAAUACAAAUUAAAAUUGUAUACCCUAACAACGUCACAUGCAUCACCAAAGCCUAAUAUCCCUACAAAUAAACCUAAAAAAGGCUUUCAAAUAUCAAUAAAACCAUGGAUCCAUCAUAACAACCUUAAUAAAAAGGUCAGCAACACUAAAAAAUUUUCCAAAAUCAAUUUAAUUCAUACCAUCAAACAAAUAAUGCAAAAAAUAAUUCCUACAGCAUCAUUUUAUCACAAGUCAAAAUAUAAAUACCACAAAAGCAUGAAUAUAUCUAUCUAUACAUUUACAUAUUCAUACCAUCUAACAAAUAACAUAGAAAAUAAUUCCUCCAGAAUCAUUUCAUCACAAGUCAAAAUAGAUAUACAACAAUAUGUAUCUCUGUAUCUAGCUAUACAUAUACAUCACAUAUAUGCGUGUACGAAUCCAUAUUGCCUUACUUCUCCCCAUGGCGAAUUUUCCGCUUUGUUGGUCUGCGGCCUAAAAUUGAGAAAUGACGUACAAACUCGUGGAUUUGGGAGAAGUUCUAUUUAUAUACUUAGGGUUGGGUUGGGGGAAGUCUUUUUUUUGGGGUGGGGAGAAAGAGAGACUUUUAAAAAUGGUGUUGCCAAAUAAAGGAAAUUUCAUUUUCACUUGUUGAAUUCUUAAAAUUAUGACAAUGACUUAUUGAGUGUUAAAAGACAAAAAUGUCCUUCAGUGUAUUAUGUAAUUAAAAAAAAAUUGUUUAAAAAGACAUUAUUAUCCUUUUGUUAACAAAUAAAAAUCAAACGUUUUCCACUUAAAAUAUCAAAAUCAGCAAACUUCUCAUAUUCAUUUACUCUAACACAGAUAAAAACGAUUUCAUCUUUCAUCUGCUCGAGAUCAAGAUUUGAAAAAUUCAUCGAACGCGGUAGCUGAAAUUUUUUUAUAUCAAUCUCAUCAGAUCAAUAAUAAUUAGCACAAAAUCUUCCUCACUUUCGUUGUUUUUUUUUGGGGAAAACAUCUUUUCGUUUUUUGAAAGAUUACACCCUCACCUUUACCAUUUUUUUGCGCAAAAUAUCAUUCUGUUAACUUUUCGUUAAAAUGCUCCGUUAAAUCAAAAGGUAAUUAGUACAAAAUGUUCCUAUCUUUCAAUGUUAUAGUGCAAAACGUUCCUACCUUACAUUUUUUUAGCAUAAUUAGCACAAAAUGUUACCUUUCAAUGUUAUUGUGCAAAACGUCCAUACCUUUCAUUUUUAGUAUUUUCACCCCUACCUUUCACCUUUUAUUGUGCAAUACGUCAUUUUCAUUCAUUUUUCAAAAAAAUGGAGAUUUUACCCUCCUAUUUAAAUAAAAUAAAAAGAAAAAAAAAGAAAGAUAAAUAAUUAAUAGCAAUCAUAGUCCUAAAUCUUUCAAAAUAUUACAGAUAAAUCCUAAAUUCUCCACUACCGCCACUUUUACAACUCCACCAAGCUACCACCUAUAGAUUCAUAUACCACCAUCUUUUGGCCACAACACUUAUCGGACUCCACCACCACCAGCCUCGCCUCAUUCUCCCCAAUAUCCUCCUCCAUAGUAUUGAUCAUUAAUAUGUCUGAAACAACCACAUUUAAAGGUGGUGUUAUGUUGAUUUAUAGUUGGCAGCUUGAUAGGUUGUGAAAGUGGUAGUGGUUGAUAAUUUAUGAUUUCUUUGUAAUUUUUUAAAAAUUUAAGGACUAUGGUUGCAGUUAGUAAUUAUUUUUUUCUUUUAUUUUAUUUGAAUAGGAGGGUAAAAUUGUCAUUUUAUUGAAAAAUGUAUGAGAAUGACCUUUUUCGCAAUGAAAGGUGAAAGGUAGGGGUGAAAAUGCUAAAAAAUGAAAGGGAGAGACUUUUGCACAAUAACAUUGAAAGGUAGGGACCUUUUGUGCUAAUUAUGCCAAAAAAUGAAAUAUAGAGACGUUUUGCACAAUAAUAUUGAAAGGUAGGGACCUUUUGUGCUAAUUACCGUUUGAUUUAACAGAGUAUUUUAAUAGGGAGUUGACAGAAUGACGUUUUACACAAAAAAAAAGGUAAAGGUGAGGGUGUAAUCCGUCAAAAAAUGAAAGGUAUGGACGUUUUCUACAAAAAUAUCGAAAGGUAGGGACGUUUUGUGCUAAUUACCCUUUUAAAAAUGGUGUUGUCAAAUAACGGAAAUUUCAUUUUAACUUGUUGAAUUCUUAAAAUUAUGACAACGACUAUUGAGUGUUAAAAGAUAAAAAUGCCCUUAAGUACAUUAUGCAAUUAUAAAAGAUUGUUUUGUUUAAAAGACAUUAUUACCCUUUUGUUAACAAAUAAAAAUCAAACACUUUCCACUUAAAAUAUCAAAAUCAGCAAACUUUUCAUAUUUAUUUACUCCAACACAGAUAAAAACGCUUUCAUCUUUCAUCUUUCAUCUGCUAGAAGCUCAAAAUUUGAAAAAUUCAUCGAACGCAGUAGCUGAAAAUUUUUUAUAUCAUCCUCAUCAUAUCAGUAAGUUUAUAAUACGUAUAUUUAAUUUUGUUUUCGUUAAAUUAUUUUACGUUUGCAUAGAUAAAAUUUAUUUCGACAUAUAUGUUAAUGUAGAUAGUUUUAUUACUAGAUCUGUGAAAAAUUUUAAACUUUUGACGAGAAAAAAUUCAUCUGCAUUAAUACUAAAAAAUUAAUCUUCAAAAGUUUGGUGUGUUUAUUUUGCCGAACAGCGAAUUUGAACUGUCAACUGUCCAGUUAACAGAUAAAAAACACGGCUGGACAACCGGACAAUUUAACAAUCGGCUGGAACAACCGAAUCAAAACAAACUGUUUUAAAUUUAUUUUUUUCCCUAUUUCGUUCAAUAUUUUCUUGCAAUUAAAAAUUCUUUUUUAUCACGCAGAUAUGGUUGUAGUCCCAAUUUGUUACAUUGGUGAUUUUGAAUUGGACGAAAGAGAUCGAUAGGUAUGAAAAUGGACGAGCGAUAAAUGUGGUGGUAUCUGAAUUUCCAUAACAGAAACAACAACGUAUGCAGAACUCUAUAAUCUUUUAUAGAACAAGCUAAAUGUUGAUCUGUCUCAGUAUGACAUGGAAUUGAAAUUUAAAUUCAGUGACCAUGAAGUUCUGAGUCCACAUAUGACGAUUUCUUCUGAUACCGAAAUGAAUUAUCUGUUUAAAAUGAACAAUAGACACUCGACUCCGAUUUGCGUGACUUUAGUGAGAAAGGAUGUCGUCGAAGGUGAACAAGUAGACUCAGAUAGAGGGGAUAACAAUGCUAAUGAUUUUUGGAAUAUGGUCCAGAUAGCUCAUGAAGAUGAGGCGGUUAUUCCAAAGAUAGUUAGUCACAGAAUUUCGUCCGUGGUUUACGACAAUGAGUGUAAAAAUGCAAAUACUUUUAUCGACAAGGAUUUGAUCUCUUUAUCCUGACAGAGACAUAAGCGGGGUGGGACCUCAGGGGCUGGAUCGAGUGGACCGUCCUCUGACUCCUCCCAUGUAGUUCCCGAUAGUGAGGAUUUGUAUGUCGAGUGACCAUUUGAAACGAAAAAAAGAUUUGCAGGAAGCUCUGCACCUAAUUGUACUGAAAUACAACUUUGAAUUCAAAGUGAAAAAAUCAAACAAGUCGUUGACAAUUGCUUACGUAGACGACAGUUGCUGUUGGCAUUUGCGAGCGACGAAGAUGAACACGAAUGAGUGCUUUGUAGUUCAUAAGUAUGCACGGGAACAUACUUGUGAAUUGGGAUUACGUCGAAAUGAUCACAAGCAAGCCCUAGCUUAGUUUAUUGGUCGACAGAUAAUGCUCAAGUAUCAGAUCCUCGUACAAUCUACAGACCAUCAAAUAUCAUUAAUGACGUCCGUCGAGAAUAGAGAGUAGUCUUGAGCUACCAGAAGGUCUGGAAGGCCAAUGAAUGUGCUUUUGAGGAUUUAAUGGGCUCUGCAGAGGAAAACUAUGCUAAAUUGGUCAGGUAUUGCCAUAAUAUGGAGAAAACUAAUCCUGGCUCGAAAUUUUUUAUUGAGACGGAGGGUAGGAAUUGCUUCAAAUUCUUCUUCAUGGCUCUUGGACAAUGCAUUCGGGGAUUUAGAAAUGCAAUGCGACCCCUAAUUCUAAUUGAUGGUACAACACUGAAAUCUAAAUAUCAAGGCAAGUUGACUAUUGCUAUAUAUCAAGAUGCCAACAUCCAAAUUUACCUUCUUACAUUCGGCAUAGUCGAUAAUUACUUGUCGAUGCGGUGGUUCUUCACAAAGUUAAGGGAUGUAAUCGGGGAAGUUGAUGACCUUGCAUUUGUAACAUAUCAGGGACAGCCUUUAGUAAAUGGUAUCGCUGAAGUUUUUCCAGAUGCACAUCAUGGGUAUUGCAUGUACCAUAUUCAAGGCAAUCUGAAGACCAGGUAUUGGGGCAAAAGUGUCGUUUCAUUGUUCAAGAGAGCGGCUGAAGCCUACAGUGUUGAAAAGUGUAAUAAGUUCAUGGUUGAAAUAGGAAGUAAAUCAUUCGAUGCAUGGGAUUAUCUAACAAAAAUAGGGAUUGAACAUUGGUCGCGCUUGUUUUUUUCAUCACAUCAAUACAACAUGAUGACGUCAAACAACGUGAAAUCUUUCAAUGCAUUAUUCAAGAAGGAUCGAGAAUUACCCAUUCUUGCGCUGAUUGAGAAAAUCCGUACCAAGCUGUAACAGUGAUUUCCUGAUCGACAUGCAGAAUCACAAAAUUGUACGAAUGUGCUAGCCCCAACGCAAGAGGAAAAACUAUUUAAAGCUGUAGAACUUGCGAGACAGUUGAAUGUCGAACUACUAGAUGAGUUGCCCUUCUCAGUGGAAUGUGCACGUAAUACAGCAUACAUGGUGGACUUGACUGAUAACACAUGCAGCUAUAAAAAAUUUCAGUUGGAGACUUUUUUGUGUGAGCAUGUAGUCGCGGUUGCUAUAUAUCGAGGAUUUGCAGUUAGAACUUUGUGCUCUCAUUACUAUAUGACUAAUUAUUGGAGAGCUGUGUACGCUGAGACAAUUUUUCCUCUACUGAACGAACCUAAGUGAGAAGUCCUUGACCAUAUUUGCCCACUUAAUACAUUGUUGCCACCUCUCAUUAAACUGCAUGGUCCUGAACGUCCAAGUACGUCUAGAAUAUCAUCUACUGGAGAAUUUUCUCGACCGCGUAGGUGCAGCAGGUGCAAAUCAGUAGGGCAUAUUCGCCAAUAUUGUACAAGUCGUGUUCCUCUAAAUGAUAGUUAGAUCAUUUGGUAAUGUUGUCCAUCUGAAUUAAACAGUAUUUGCAUUUAUUAUACAUUUACAAAUUAAUUGUCGUCGUAAUUAAUAAUCAUUUCAUAAUCCAUCACAGUGUUUUACAAAACAUUUCGUAAGUACAACAAAUCAAUAUUUACAGUAUUCACAAUUAUUUCAUAAUUAUGAAAAAAUUACAACUAAUAAUUACAAUAAAUCUAUGGAUCACCAUUAAACUAGAAUAAGUCGCACGCCAACUUAUCGUGCCAACUCUAUAUUCAGGAUUGGUUGAUUCCAUCAAUCUUAUAUGCUAUACUCAGAAAUUCGAUGUACUUUAUUGCAAAAAUGCCCCAAUCGUCCAUUCAAAUGAAAAAAAAUGAGUUCGAUCAGUACCGUGAAGCCAAAAAAAUUAAGUAUUAAAUUUAAAAAAAUUUAGAACCACUUACGAUAUUGUCUGCCUCGCUGUGGUCGUGUCCCGCACGAUGGCUAAUCUGUCCUUCACAGUCAAUCCCGUCUAUCUAGCUAUCAUUGGGACAAACACAGCAAUGAGCUCCAAAUUUUGCUUGAGCUGACCAUGUGUCAGACAUGAAUGAUCGGGGUCGUACAAGUAUAUAGUAGACUCAGCGAACACAAUCUCCAAGGUCAUGCAGUGAUGAUUCACAAUCACUGGUGUGUACAUAUGUGUACAACCCUCCCAUGACUUCCUCCCGACACAUGGCCACAUCCUUAUGGUCCACUCGAGCAUGUAGUCGAGCACCGCGUACUUCUUGUCGGUAGGUUGGAGCUACCCUCAAUGUCAACACUUUGUCCGAACUCGAAAUUGAGUAUGACUCGGCCAGGACUGUCAAAUGAGCUCGGAUAUCUUUGAACUUGAUCAUGCAACAAGUCCAUAACCAGGUCGAUGUGUGGCACUAAAAAAUAACAAUACAAAAUAGAGUUAUUUCAUUACAUAAACAAACUAUGAUGUACAAGUCAUAAAAAUUAACAAUAUGACUACUCACUUACAUCGUCGGCAAGCCAGGCUCCUAAAGUGAUGAUGUCAUGAAACCACUUAUAAGAAUUAGAGAUCGUCACAAUACCUAUCAUACGGCUGGUCCUGACAAAAGAAAUAGAGAAAUGUAACGAUCACUGGUAUGUACUAAUAUCACUAAUAUCAUGAAUACUAACUCGAGCAACAUUCUUCUCUGUCUCGAACACUUUCCACUUGGCAUGGUCCAUCUCCCGAAAUAGGUUGGGGAUCGUCCCAUCGACAAACUUCCUCAUUUUCGUGUCAGCCGUGAAGGAAGAGACAAUGUACCGUGACGACACUCUCGGCCUCUUGCUUAACACCAUCUCCGGCAAGUUAACAGCACGCUUUUUUGACCCAGUCACGGUCUUCGUCCUCCCCUCAUCCACCUCGGGCAUCAUUCCCUCCUCUGUCCUAGUCGUCACCACCUCCUCGACCGUCACUCCCGUCCUCGAGGGGCCCACCACCUCAUCUACCAGUGUCAACACCACCUUCUCGACCCCCUCAUCCGCUAUCAUCAGCACCACCUCCUCAAUCGUCGCUCCCGUCCCCAACGGGGUCACCUCCUCCUCUGACCUUGAGGCCAUCCCCUCCUCCGCCCUCGGGUCCACCCUAUCCUCUAUGGACCGAAAAAAGGAGUCUCAUGCAUCCUCCGACCACGACCGUGGAUGACCCCCAUCUCUAUCCUCUCGAUCACCAGAUCGUCACCUCCGUCAACCCAUCGCCUGUCUGCUAUAUCACCUUGAAGUGCUGUCACUUCAUCAUGAAGGUCCCCUAAAUGCCCACGUAGCACUCCAAUAUCAUCAGCUAUAUCCUCGACCCUCCCUACCAACUGACGUCCCAGAUCGUCGACCUACUCCACCAUAUCUCGACGUAGCGUGCCGACCUCCUCUAAAAUAACUCCUAUCAACUGUCGACGCAGUGCGCCGACCUCUCCUGAUAUAACUCCUCUCAGCUCUCAAUGUAGCGAGUCGACCUCCCCUGAUAUAACUCAUGUUAGCUCUUGACGCAGCGCGCCGACCUCUUACACCAUAAAUCCAAUCAGGGGAUGUUACAGAUUAUCAGAAUAAUCACCCUGAAGGGGAGGAAGUAACGUCGGCGGCGGAGGUGAUGCCCUCAAUGGAGAUGAUGCCCUCGGUGGAGGUUAUGCCCGAUCAACUGGCUCGCGAUCCUGCACAAACUUAUAUAUUAUUAACUUAUUCAAUAAUUGUUAUCUCAUACAAAAUAUUAAUCAAUAAUUCACUUACCCAGUCUCGAUCGGGGAUCGAAUCGGAAAUCUGGUCAUCCUGGGCAUGCAGAACCGCUACUUCACGCAUGAGACCCUGUGGCUCUUCCUCCAUCAACGGCGUCAAAUGAGUUAUUACUUCAAGCUAAGAUAUUGACAUUUUAAAAAAAUAAAAUCAUGUAAUGUUACACUUUGUACAAUAUAAAUCACAAAUUUAUAAUACUCACAUGAGGGUCAUUGAGGAGAGCCAAUAAUUGUUUCCCAAUGGGACAUCCCUCCGUUCGAGAUGCUCGCCAAUGGUGCAUCCGAGGGCAGCGUGUCUCAUCUUGCCGUGUAAAGCGGGUACCCAAUAUGGAGAUAGUCUCAUACGCCCAGACCUACAAUACAUAAAUUAGUACAUACAAAUUCAAUAAAAAAAUAUUUUAACAUUGAUCGCAUUAAUCAUUUACUUGCAGCACCAAGGGGAAUCUAUACGUGUCGUACUUACGCAUGGGCCCCUUGGGCUUCGAGUGUGGUAUGGUGAAGAUGUGGACGGUGUUAUCGAAAUAUCGGCUGUCCCACGGACAGCUGUUGAAACGAUUUAUGUCGUUGACGAUCUCGAGGUGGAAGAGGUUGAUUGUAGUCUUCUUGUGGUGACACCGCAUCAUGCUCUCAAUGAUGUAGACCAGACCUAACUUCAGUCUGUCCAACAUCUCGUCACACCUCCUGAUCGCGUCCAUCAACUGAGGCAAAACCACCGCUCCCUAUCCCUGGAAGUAAGUUUUUUGCAGCCUAUUUCUUCUCUAAGCCCGUCGCUAGUUGUCACAUCGCCCGUAAUCUUCAAUCCAGUCAGCAGGGCAAACUCGAACAUGGAAAAGCUAGCGACUUUACCCCCGAAGUCGAAGUGGAGGGUAUCGCUGUCAACUGGACUCAGCAGCCGACAUAAAAGAGCGUCGAUCAUCUGAUCCGAAUACUGCAACUCUCUCAUAGGGUAUAGAAGCCACAGAAAGGACUGACGCAGCAUAUCUGUAUGCUGAUCGUCUAGCAGCUCCAAGACUUGGGUGAAGCUGUCAAAGUUACUGUUCCACGUAACUUUGUUUGGCAUCUGUCUCAACUCUGCAUCCAAAAGAUAAUCCAUCCUAAAAAAAUUGAAACAAAAUAUUAGAACAUUGUAUAUGAAAUAAUGGAAUGAAACAUAAUAACCCAAAAUUAAGAAAUCUGAAUUUUUAAUUGUGUUUUUAAAAUCACAAAUAUCUUUACAUUAAAAUUAUAACUAAAAUAAAAACUUAAAUUUAAAAUAAAAUAAAAUAAAAAAUGAUAAUUAAAUAAAAAUAAAAAUUUAAAGUUAGAAUUAAAAAUUUAUUUGAAAUUAAUUUUAAAAUAACAAAUUUCUUUACAUUAAAAUUAUAUAAAAUGAAAAUUUAAAUUCAAAAUAAAAUUACCAUUACAAUUAAAUUUAAAAUAAAAAGUUGAAAUUAGAAUUAAAAAAGUAAUUUUAAAAUUAAUUUUAAAAUAACAAAUUUCUAAAUUAAAAUUAUAACUAAAAUGAAAAUUUAAAUUUAAAAUAAAAAAAUAGAAAACUAAAAAUAAAUUAAAAAUAAAAAUUAUUUUGAAAUUAAUAUUAAAAUAAAAAAUUUCUUAACAUUAAAAUUAUAAUUAAAAAAUGUAAAUUUAAAAUAAAAUUAAAAUUUAAUUUAAAAUAAAAUUAAAACUACAAUUAUAUUUAAAAUAAAAUUUUGAAAUUAGAAUUAAAAAAAGUAAUUUGAAAAAUAAUUUUAAAAUAACAAAUUUCUUUAAAUUAAAAUUAUAACUAAAAUGAAAUUUAAAAUUUAAAAUAAAAUUAAAUAUAAAACUAAAAUUAAAUAAAAAUUAAAAAUUAAAAAUUAGAAUUAAAAAUUUAUUUUGAAAUUAAUUUUAAAAUAAAAAAACUUCUUUACAUUAAAAUUAUAAUUAAAAAUGGAAAUUUAAAAUAAAAUUACAAUUACAAUUAAAUUUAAUAUAAAAAGUUGAAAUUAGAAUUACAAAAGUAAUUUGAAAUUUAAUUUUAAAAUAACAAAUUUCUUUAAAGUAAAAUUAAAAUUAAAAUUAAAUAAAAAAUUAAAAUUAAAUUAAAUUAAAAAGAAAAAAUUCGGGUUAAUUAAUUAAUUUGAAAAUAAAGUCUAAAUUAGUAAAUUUCUUUAAAUUAAAAUGAAAAUGAAAAUUUAAAAUAAAAUAAAAUAAAAAACUGAGACUAAAUUUAAAAUAAAAAUUUUAAAUUAAAAUUAAAAGUUUAUUGUGGAAUUAAUUUUAAAAUAAAAAAUUUCUUUACAUUAAAAUUAUAAUUAAAAAUGUAAAUUUAAAAUAAAAUUACAAUUAUAAUUAAAUUUAAAAUAAAAAGUUGAAAUUAGAAUUAAAAAAUUAAUUUUAAAAUAACAAUUUCUUUAAAUUAAAAUUAUAACUAAAAUGAAAAUUUAAAUUUCAAAUAAAAUAAAAAAUUUAAAAUAAAUUAAAAUUAAAAAGUCAAAAUUUCGAUUAAAUAAUUAAUUUGAAAAUAAAUUCUAAAUUAACAAAUUUCUUUUAAUUAAUUUUGGAAAUUUAAUAUGACAAAAAAAAUCGACUGUUAACAGUCGACCGGCUACAAUCAAAAUCCAUCUCCACUCGCUGGAUUCCACCAUUUUCGACAAGUUAGAGCUCCCCAAACACCAAAAAUUGGCUAAUACACUUCAUCUAUACGCAAAUCUACCCUAAAUCAUGCAUUUCAUAUCACAAAAAUCAUAUUCCAACCAAUAAUCUAACUAAAAUGAAACAAAACCCAAUAUUAUAAUUAUAAUUCCACAAAAACUAACCUUUACAACUCUUAAAAGCCGGCAACCGGAAGUUCUUUUGUGAGGGAGAUGUCUGGACGGACGACUGUCAAUGAAUCUGAUUUUUCCUUUCCAAACCGUUGAUAGAGAGACAGAAAGAUGGAGGGGUAUUUUUGGAAACGUGUUUUUAAAUUGUGUUUUUCGUUUUUUUUUAAAUCAAUCAAAAGUCAAAGUGGAAAUAAGGGCGGGUCGAAUGGCCAUUUUCACUUAUUUAAUCAGAAUUAGGCCUAUGUUUCCCGACAAUUUUCCUGGGCAAAGCUACUCGAGGAAAAUACAGCUAUCUCUCGUUCUUUUUUUCUCGAUUAUUUUCAACUACGCAAUCUUCCAUAAAAUAAUAUUAUACGUAAAUAAAAAAAAUUUCAUUCUUUUCAAUCACACAUUUUUUCAAAAAAACACUACUCUAACCACUAAAAUUUCGAAAGAAUGGAAGCCGAAUGAGGCUAAUAUUCCAUUUUCAUAAAUCAAGAUUUAAGUAUCAUAAUACAAAAAUCAAGUGAUUAUGUAUUUUAAAUAAUAAUAUAAAAUUAAACUAAUUCAACCUAUUAUAUUCCAAACCCUAAUUUUCCCAUCUCUCUCUCUCUCUCUCGCAAGAUGCAGCCACCAUCGUUGUCGCCGUGAAGACCCCUCACUUCUCUCCUCUUUCUCACAAAUCAUCGACGAAUGUAUUGGCGUCAUCUGAAGCAACCAACUACGACGGUGUUGUGUGUAGUGGUGUUGGCAGUGUGCGCCGACAACAUUUCUCCAUAGGCACUGCAGAUCUGGUUAGGUGUGGUGGGUACGUUGCGGUCGAUGUCAGCAUUUCUCCUUCAUCUCUUCCCGCGUAUGCGUGGGUAUGGUGGUGCGUCAUCAUCAAUCUGUGCUCAAAUUUGGUGCUGUUAGUUUGGGUGCUGCGCUUCGCAGCCGUCGUCUCCAGUAAUUUUUUGUGUGCAAUGGUUGGGUACGAUGGUAGUGUGCAUUGUUAGUGUGUUGUGAUCAGUGGUGGUGGUGUUGUAGUCAACGUUGGUGGCAGUUUUGUUGGUGGUGCGACGGCGGGUGAGGCGGAAAGAAAAGAAUGUGACCAUCUGCGGUAGUGGUAGAUCAAGAUCGGAGGUGGAAGUGGGUUGUUUGGUAGAUGUGACCAACAAUUUGAUUAAUUUGUGACUUGCAAUUUGGUUAUUUGUGACUAACAAUUUAAUUGUGACCUAAAAAUUAUUUCAUUUGUGACUAACUAAUUUGAAAAAUGUGAUCGAUGAAUAAGUUGUGAUUUAUAAAAUUUGUGAUUUGUGUUCGAAAGAUAUGAGCGAACCAUUUAAUUGUGACCUAAAAAUUAUAUAAUUUGUGAUAAAUUAAUUUGAAAAUUUGACGAAUAAGUUGUAACUUUUAAAAAUUUUGAUGAUAAUAUGUGACUAGUAAAUAAGUUAUGACCUAUAAUAUGGCAAUUGUGACCAAAAAAUAUGUAAUGUUGUGACCAUAAUAUAUUAUAUUAAAAAAUAUUUUUUUAAUUAAUAAAAUCAUAAUUAUGACCUGAUUUUUGAAAGUUUAGAUGCAGUUUCUUAAAAUUGAAAUUGUGUAUAGUUAAUACCUUAAUUAUGUAUUGUUCCCAAGCUACUUCAGUCAUAAUGGACCUUAAUUUAGUAUAAGCCGAAAUUGACACAAAUAGCACUACAAUUGAUCAUAUACUAAUAGAAUUUUUUUUUGGAAUAUUUUCUAACAAGUUAAUUUCAGAAAUGGUCACUGAAGUUUAAGUAAAAUUUCAAAUUGGCUAUAAAGUAUUUUUGUGUCCCUCAUUUAUUAACUAAAGUAAGAUAAUGCUACAUUAUUGGCCACUUUAGCAGAACCCACUCCUAAUAUUGACAGCUAAACCUAAACAUCGACUAAUGACCAUUGUAUCUUCGUAGUGAACAUACAGACCAUCAAAAUAAAAUGCAAUUUUUACGAGAGAUGACCUCACAUUUAGCCAAAAAUUAGUAAAAUUCACUCCAAAUAUGACGGCGAAUUGUUAAAUUUUGACAUCAAACGAACCAUCGUUAUGUUCAUCGUAAAGUCACAUUCCAAUAAAAUAAAACAGUGGAGCCAAAAAUUCAAAAUCGCUUCCUUUAACCCUAAUCUUAUUUUCAUCAUUAAUAAAUGGUAAAAUGAUUGUGAUAUGAGGCCAACUUGAUCGACAAUAAGUCCAUGUGGAUUAACAAAUGCUAGACGUGAAAGUUUAAUAGCGGCUAGAUAGAAUAUAACCUCAAGCUAAAAGAGUGAUCAAAUAUGUAACAUUAUUUAAUGGUAAAGACUAAAGGAGUCACAAAAAUACUUUAAUAACCACAUUAAAAUUUUGCUUGAACCUCAAUAAUUGUUCGUGAACUUAACUCAUUUUCACCUUUAGGUUUGUAUCAAAUUCCAUUCAAUUUUUUCUCUUCUCGUUUUAGUCCAAGUGUAUUUAGUUAGGAUCUAAGGGACUCAAAAAUAAUUUUGUAUAUAAUAUUUAGAAAGAUAUUAAACUCAAUUCUAUGAGGUUUGGACCCUCCAUGUCAAAAAUAUGUCAUACUCCAAGACUUGUAGUUUAUACCCAUUACACUAUUGCACACUUACAAGUAUAUGUUUUGUUAAAAUGGAACUACUUAUAAGUUAAAUUUAUAAUUUAUUAAAAUAUCAUAUCAAGUGAAAAUCAUUUUUUGGACGAUUUCUUACUAUAAUUUAAUUAUUUCAAUAAUAUUUCACUUUUCAUUUUUCAAUAUGUAUUUAAAUUAUUUAACUAUUUAGUCACCAUCAAUAUACAUUUACAUUUGACAAAUUGUGAAAUGCGCUUUCAUUAAUGUAUAAAUUUUCUAUUAUUAAUCCUCAAUAAUUAACAUUCACAUUCAUUUAAUUAAUAUUCAUCUUCAUUUAUGCAUUUUAGUGUAAUUAUUUCUAAUUAUAAGUUAAUUAUAAUUUCAUGUUCAAGUAUGUAUUUUAUUAUUCACGUCAGUUAUGCUGAUUAACAUUCAAUUUUACUUAAUCGGAAAUUAAAUAAAUGAUUUAACAUUCAUUGUCACGUAUAUUUCCUGAUAUUAAUUCUAAAUUAAUUAACAUUCACACAUAAUGCACAAUACAUGUUCAAUGUUGACUAAUAUAUCUAAAAAUAUGUAAUCUUUUUAAUUGAGACAAACAAGUUGUCUGUCACGAGAAUCUGUAAAUGUUGAAAUUGUGGAAGACGUAUCCAAAUGACAGCUAUUAGAUAUACACAUUAAAGUUCGAGUUUCUAUGCAAGAAAGUGAUGAAUGAUCACACACGAACACAAAAGUCUGGGAUGUGAAUCACUAGUCACUUGUGCAUGGGAGUUUCUAACCUUUUCUAUUGCUCCUAAACUAUGUUUGAUAGCCCAAUUUUUCUAUGAAAAAUGAAAAACAAAUUUCAUUUUCAUCUUUUGGCGUGUUUGAUAGCCAAUUUUUUUUCACUAAUUCGUUUUCCACCUUUGCCUCACACGAGCACCAAUUCUUGGUUUUUGGAAAAUUAAUUUUCCCAUGGGGUAGCUGAUUUUAUGUUUUCCACCAAUUUUUUUUAUUUUAUUUUGUUUUAUUUGGUUUUGUUUUUGUUUUUGUUUUUGUUUUUGUUUUUUUAAUUUUUGACAAUGGGAACAAAUUCUAUGGACAAUUGUAAAAGAUGAUAUCCCUUAAAUUGAUAAUUUACAUGUAAAACAAAGUCAAACGAACACCAAAAUAUAUAAUUUUUUUUUGAAUUUUUUUUCACAAUGGAAACAAAUUCUAGGAACAAUUGUAGAAGUGGAUAUCCCUAAAAUUAACAUUUUUCAUGAAAAACAAAGCCAAACGAACACCAAAAUACACUUUUAUUUUAACAUUUUUCAGGUGAAAAAUUAUAUGAAUCAAACACUAUUAAUUAACAAUUCUCAUUAAAACAUAUUUUAGGCAAUUCGAUUCCCUUCAAGUCAUUUUCUUUUCAUCCAAAUUCCAUAUUUAUAAUCAAACGGACCCUUAUUAUCUUCUAUCCACGUGACAACAAUUUUCACGAUCAUCGACUGUAAAUUCACUUUUAAAGUGUAAAACAACAUGUCCUUAACAUAUGCUAAAUUAAAGCAACUAUGCUAUAGUAAAAAAAACUGAAUAAUGCUAUUUUUAGUCCCUCGUAGCGAUAGUCAUUCUACAUGGCAUAUAUAUGGUAGGUGAUUAUUUGAUGCAUUAAUAUUAUAAUCUUUUAUCGACUCAUAUAUCAAAUAAUCACCUGUCAUGUGCAUAUCAUGUUAGAUGAUUGCCGUUGUGAGCAACUACAAAUAGCAUAAACAUCUUAGUACACAGAGGAAAAGAAAGCAAAAGCGAUUUCUAUAGUAACGGCGAGGGAAAGGUUUACGGUAGAUACCUAGGCACCCAGAGACGAGGAAGGACGUAGUAAUCAAUGUUCAAAAAAAUUGACAUGCUUAUGAGACAAUGUGACAUGGCCGGUCGAUUGGACAUUAAAAGAUAUCAGAAUCGAAGAAAUUUAACAAAGACCAAACCUAAGGAAAGAGCUCGGCUUAUGUUAUAAAGAGGUCAAUCAGCCAUUACUAUUAAGCUUUGGUCAUUUUAAGAAUGGGAAUGCUCUAGCCAAACAAUGCGACAAUAUAACCAGACCAAAGAGCUUAGAUCCAAUAUCUUCGUAGAAGCUAGCAAAGGUUGAAAUCCUUAAGCUCACUAAAUUAUGCCUUGCUUGGUGCUCACGCAUGACAAGCUUGGCCUAGCACAAGCAUGCCCAACAAGCUAAGCAGGGCGGCACCAGCACGGAAUUCUGCUGCUUCUUCAAGUUUGGGUUGGGCUCUUCGAAUGGUCAACAAUGGCAAAUAGCAAUUGUCCUAAUUGGGAUACUUGGCCCUUGUGCAAGAUCAGUUGGAUGGAGCAUCCACCUUGGGCAAACCAAUUUAUAUGGCCAUCCACCCUGGAAGAUGAGAGUGUCAAUUGAUGGCCCAGGCAGCAUAAAAUCCAUUGCUGAUCGUUAAUAAUUAGAACGUCUGAUAUAUCAAAAUAAAUGGUGUGGAUUACUGACUUUACACAUUUUUUCUAUCACAAACUGUCAUCAUAAGUCGACAAAUGCCAAAAAGAAAAAGUUGCAGAGUCCAUUGAGAAGUAGGAUUCUAUUAACAAGCCUGCUCCUUGUCCCGGCUUGGGGACAGGAUCACGGACAGGGCGCUCCCUAUUGGAUGCCGGCAUCCCUCCAAUAGGGGGCGCCACAUGCUUCAACCUUGUUCCCAAACCAAGACGGCGGCUUUAUUAUUCUAUUUAUUAUUCUAUUAAACAGGUAAGAUUGGAUUCAUAUUUUGUUAAUUAUAAGAUUUUAUGCAUUUAAAUUAAAAUCUUCAGCACACCCAUCAUGUGCAAACGAGUAGCUGCGUAACAAAUAAAAUUCUAGUGCCUCACAGGGCAUAGCCCGAUGGUGCAAAGGACAAAAGUGAGAUUAUUCGCGCCUUGUCGACAGCCGCAGUGUGAAAGUUUGAUUCUUGAGACAUGAAAUUUGACUCCUUGUAUGCGCAGUUUACAUACAGCUCUUGUUCCCUGAUCUGUUGGGACACAUCCCACGAUUUAUCUCCCUCACAAAGCUCUAAGAGCGAAACGGUAAGGACUCUCAAAAUUGGAGUUCAACCUUUUUUUAACAAAUAAAAUUCUGGUAACUGACUUGAAUCCUUUGUCAUUGUGUCCUAUUUGGCCCUCAUUCUUUUCAAAUUUUAAUGGUUGAAAUAGUGAUUUUUUGAAAAAUGUGUAGUUAAAAAAAAUGAAAGCCUUUGAUUUUCAUGUAAUAUUAUUUUAUAAAAGAUUGUAUAGUUUAAAAUAAGAAAGAAAAAAAGAAUAAGAGGAUAUUUGACAAACAUUUUUAUAUAAAAAUGUAUUUUAAAAUAGUAAAUUGAUGUGAAAUGUAUGGUUGAAAAAUAAGGAAAAGUUUUUUAUUUACGUUUAAUAUUAUUUUAAUAAAAAAUGUGUGAUUCAAAAGAAGAAAGAGAAAAAUACAUUUUGAAAAAAAUGGCUACCAGACGGAACCUAAUAAUGGGAAUGAGGACAAAAAGAGGCUGUAUGUUCCAAUACUAACAAAGUUACAUCACAUUAAAAAAGGGUAAUUAAACUGUUCAAAGUACCACAGAAUAAAUACCUCAAACCUGGAAAUUAAUAUUGACAAAUGCAUCAGAAAUUUAACACAAUCAAGCUCCUACACUUCAUCCAAAAAAAGGAUAGUAUAUUUAAAAAGCAAGUAUUUGAAGUCUCAGAAAUAACAGCAUAACUCAAAAACUAAAUGAGAAGAAGAUGGAGCCGAUCACCACCAUAUCUCUUCGUUAUCCUAGGCAGAUUCAGCCUGAGAUAAAAAUGCUCUUCCUGGUUGACGCAGAGCCAGUGGUCCGUGACAUCCCAGAAGCUGCAAAAUCAAAUACAAAAUUUUCUCAUAAACAGUGAACGGCACCCAAGAGGUUAGACAAUAAAGCAGCAUAUGUAAAGAUAAAAUUGAAAAAAGGGAAAACAGCUGCAAAUAUUUUAAUUAAUCCUCAAGGUUACAACUAACCUUAGCAUUCACACCAUCAGAUAGAAUCCGAUUCUCAGAUUUCCACUUCAGGUAAUCAGUGCGGCUGUGUUUAGUGAACCCCCUGAAAUUCAAGAUAAACAGCAAUACUUUAAUAAUAUGUAUGUGAAUGGGGCGGUAGUCUAGACAAAAACAUAAGGUUUUCCAAACUACAAAAUGUCUCAAUUAAUCCAAAAUGAAAUUCAAUAGGAAAGCAGCAUACCAUUUCCUGCUGACAAUAAUCUUUUGACGGCCAGGGAAUUUGAACUUUGCACGGCGCAAUGCUUCCUGCGCAUUGUGGCUGUUGCUAUCUUUGCAGCGAACAGAGAGGAGCACCUGGCCAAUAGCAACACGAGCACAAACACCUUGAGGCUUGCCAAAAGCACCCCUCAUACCAGUUUGGAGCCUAUCAGCUCCAGCACAUGACAACAUCUUGUUAAUUCGCAACACAUGGAAAGGGUGCACGCGGACCCUCAGGUGGAAAGCAUCCUUUCCUGCAAACUUAGUCAUGUACUUAUUGCAGGCAAUACGAGCAGCUUCAAGUGCUUCACUAGACAC